rnacentral:rRNA from 1 species
AACGAACGCUGGCGGCAGGCCUAACACAUGCAAGUCGAGCGAGGACUUCGGUCCUAGCAGCGGACGGGUGAGUAACGCGUGGGAACGUGCCCUUUGGUACGGAAUAGCCCCGGGAAACUGGGAGUAAUACCGUAUGGUGUCUUCGGACUAAAGAUUUAUCGCCAAAGGAUCGGCCCGCGUUGGAUUAGGUAGUUGGUGGGGUAAUGGCCUACCAAGCCGACGAUCCAUAGCUGGUUUGAGAGGAUGAUCAGCCACACUGGGACUGAGACACGGCCCAGACUCCUACGGGAGGCAGCAGUGGGGAAUCUUAGACAAUGGGGGCAACCCUGAUCUAGCCAUGCCGCGUGAGUGAUGAAGGCCCUAGGGUUGUAAAGCUCUUUCAGCUGGGAAGAUAAUGACGGUACCAGCAGAAGAAGCCCCGGCUAACUCCGUG